CCUACGGGAGGCUGCAGUAGGGAAUAUUGCGCAAUGGGGGAAACCCUGACGCAGCGACGCCGCGUGAAGGAAGAAGGUUUUCGGAUCGUAAACUUCUUUGACUGGGGACGAAAGUAAUGACGGUACCCAGGGAACAAGCCACGGCUAACUACGUGCCAGCAGCCGCGGUAAUACGUAGGUGGCGAGCGUUGUCCGGAAUUACUGGGUGUAAAGGGCGUGUAGGCGGGAGAGCAAGUCAGAUGUGAAAGCCCAAGGCUCAACUUUGGGACUGCAUCUGAAACUGUUUUUCUUGAGUACUGGAGAGGGAAGCGGAAUUCCUAGUGUAGCGGUGAAAUGCGUAGAGAUUAGGAGGAACACCAGUGGCGAAGGCGGAUUGCUGGACAGAGACUGACGCUGAGGCGCGAAAGCGUGGGGAGCAAACAGGAUUAGAUACCCCUGUAGUC
rnacentral:rRNA from 1 species